rnacentral:rRNA from 1 species
GACGAACGCUGGCGGCGUGCUUAACACAUGCAAGUCGAACGGAAAGGCCCGGUUUUUGUGGGGUGCUCGAGUGGCGAACGUGUGAGUAACCCGUGAGUAACCUGCCAACGACUUGGGGCUAACUCUAAGAAACUGGGGCUUAUAGCGGAUAGGGGCGACUGCUGCCUGGGGGGGGCUUGAAAGUUUCGGCGGUUGGGGAUGGGCACGCGGCUUACAAGGCUGUUGGUGGGGUCGUGGCUUACCAGGUCGUUGACGGGAAGCCGGCGUGAGAGAGGGACCGGCCACAUUGGGAGUGAGAUAACGCCGACACUCCUACGGGAGGAAGCAGUGGGGAAUAUUUCACCAUGGGCGGAAGAAUGAUGCAGCAGCGACGCGUGCGGGAUGAAGGACUUCGGGGUGUAGAGCGCUUCUUCCUGUGAAGAAGCGUGAAUGACGGUAAUGGGUAAAGAAGCACCGGCUAACUACGUG